AACGAACGCUGGCGGCAUGCCUAACACAUGCAAGUCGAACGAAGGCUUCGGCCUUAGUGGCGCACGGGUGCGUAACGCGUGGGAAUCUGCCCCUUGCUUCGGAAUAACAGUUAGAAAUGACUGCUAAUACCGGAUGAUGUCGUAAGACCAAAGAUUUAUCGGCAAGGGAUGAGCCCGCGUAGGAUUAGGUAGUUGGUGGGGUAAAGGCCUACCAAGCCGACGAUCCUUAGCUGGUCUGAGAGGAUGAUCAGCCACACUGGGACUGAGACACGGCCCAGACUCCUACGGGAGGCAGCAGUGGGGAAUAUUGGACAAUGGGGGAAACCCUGAUCCAGCAAUGCCGCGUGAGUGAUGAAGGCCUUAGGGUUGUAAAGCUCUUUUACCCGGGAUGAUAAUGACAGUACCGGGAGAAUAAGCUCCGGCUAACUCCGUGCCAGCAGCCGCCGCGGUAA
rnacentral:rRNA from 1 species